CGCGCAGUCCUAACAGGUCUCCACCUCCAAAACGAACCAAAAUAAUCACAGCACAGAAAGAAAAAAGUUCUCCAAUCAAAUGUGCAUCCCAGCCCGACACACUGGUCUCAUGCCACCGGACGGAGGAGCGGAAGGAUAAAUUGGACCACAUGCUUGUUCCAAUUAAGACAGUCGCUGUGGGAAUUCAGGAGCUGCACCACAAGUCAUGGAAAAACCUAAACAGGAGCGGAAACUCUUGCCUAAAGGACCACUUUUAUAAAGUACUUGGCUGCUGUACAUGCAUAUUGAACAUCUCAAGUGUGUUCAAUUUUUUUGCGUUACAUGACUUUCCAACCUUUUUCAGUGGUUAAAAAGAGUGGUGCCUGCCAACAAAGUGGGUGGAGCGGCGCUGAUGGGAUUUGUUUCUGAAGCAAAAUGAAUACAUCUGCUGCUUUGUACCAGUCCCAGUGAAGUGUUGGUGAUGGCUCAAGAAGAUGAAUCUUACUCUGGACCUUGAGUUUUCUCUCUUUUUACUUGAAAACAUGUGCUUAAUUUCUUGGGAGAAAGACACAGGGUGAGGGCAAAUAAAAAUCUGAACAAUAAAAUAAG